GUGUGGAACAUUUUCAAAACUGCUUUUUAAAUACUUUGUAAAAUGCAUCUAUGAGAUUUUUUUUUAAUCCACAUUCCUCUUUUCCACCUCAAGGAACUCUAAUAAAUUAGUAAUUUCUACUUAUUAAGCCAAACUUCGUUACAUAUAACCUUCAGACACACACUGAAGAGCUCUCAAUGCCUGUGAAGGGUGAAACUCAGGAAGCAGAGCUCUCUGGGGCCAUAGCCAGAGC
rnacentral:lncRNA from 1 species